CCUCAUCAUGUAUCCCUUGGUAAUACCCCCCUCCCCUCCCAUCUUUACCCCUGCUGUUUUUAUGCCUUUCAUUUUCCCUCUCCUUGUCUUUGCUCUCCUUGGUGAUGACCUGACUUGUUUUUGCUGCCAGGAUUUAUCCAGAAAACGUAUUAAAGUCCCCCUCGUCCUCGUCCUCGUCCGCGUCCUCGUCCUCGUCCGCGUCCUCCUGCCCCUCCUCCUCCUGCUCACUGCAUCCACCGGGGGGAGAUGGACUCUUACUGACCGAGGGCACUUUCCAAGGCCAGUGAGCGUGUGCAUAACCAUGGAAACGGACACUUCAUCCUGACUCACACCCCUCCUUCCGACCGACCGACCUCCUUCCCUGAACGCUCACCCCAAAGUGAUGGAAAACACCCCCCCCCCCCCCAUUGCCUCCCCUGCAUCAUACAUGUAUACACACACACACACACACACACACAUUCAUCUACACACACACAUGCAUUCAUAUACACACACACACACACACACACACAUGCACACACCUACUUUCUCCACAACCUCCCCAGAACAAGCAGUAAACAUGUAAGCCCUUGAGAUGGAGCCUUUUAUUCCCCACCUUCAGCCUGUCAUUACCCUCUCAAACACACACGCAGAUGCACAUGUUCUCAGAUACUGAUGCAAACCUCAUCACACUCACUCACUUACUCCUUCACACACACACACACACACACACACACACACACAUACACACAGGCAAACAUACAAGUGCACACAUACAGCUCUGGGAUGUACUAAAAAAUGACAACAAGAAAAAAAACAAAAAGACUUGAAAAGAGGAGCGAAGAGGCCAGGAUGUAAACGAAGCCUUGGGGCGUCUGUGGCUAGUCUUAUGGAGGAGUGUGGCGCUUACUGGAUUGUAUCGUUUCAUUUUUAAAUGUAAACGUUUUUUGUUGUUCUCUUUUUUUUCCUAUAAUGUUUCAUUAGACUCAGUACCAUUGCUGCAAAAGGACUGGAAUCCUUGUCUGAUGGUAGGGGUUUGGGGUUAGGGUUGGGAUUAGGGUUAGGGUUAGGAUUGGGUUUGGGUGGGGGGGUGGGCGGAGGAUACAUGAAGAAUGAUCUGAUCUGUUGUACAGACUGAAUCCAUUUCUUAUGUGAAAGCAAGCAAACAGGAACGGUCUGGAUGUAACACUACAUAGUCAUGGUGAUGGACCAGAUUUAUAACUUGUUUGCCAUACAUUAUCAUUUGUUUUUGUUUUCUCUGCGUUAUUUUUGUUUUUCUUCUAAAUUAUAAAGCGAGAUCAUCCUUUUUAGUGUUGGAAUUAUUAUUGUUCCAUUCUUAGUUGUAUAUUUUCAUUCCUGUCAGAUUUUUUUAAUUGUCUUGAUUAUCUGCCGUAGGAAUUGGAAAACAAGUGUUAAAUGCAAUUGUGGAUAUUUUUGUACUGUUCCUUAUUUAUUCUCUUUUUCAUGACCUAAUUUAUUACCACAUGACUAUGUAAAUGAAGGACAACUGUUAGAGGAAUUGAACUGAAUGUUAUUUAUUUACUGACCUCCUGAAGUGUUUGUAUCGGGGCAACAGUUUUGUUCAUUUUCAGAGAAAAAAAAAACUUCCUUUGUCCUAAUUUAACAGAAUUAUGUGACCAUUGACAAAUAUUAUGUUCGCUCCUAGCAUCAAAGGUUAAAAAAAUGUAGUAUAUGUUUAAAAAAAAAAAUAAGAAUUUACCAGUAAUUUAAGAAUGUAGACUAGCCUCUUUGGAGGGAACUGAUCUUCUCUUGAUAUUUGUCAGUUUCAUAUCAUUGUGCGUGUACGAUGGAUUGAGACAAAAGCUACUCUUGAAUCAGUUCUCUUGUAAAUAGAACAAAUUUGAACAUGUGAAAUAGGAAGGGGGUUCCUGCUCUUGGCUUUUAUCUAGUAUUGCUGUGUGCAUGUCUCACAUGGGCUUUUCUUUGCAUGGCGCUAGUGUAACUGUUUGAAAAAAAACACACACUCUUUGCCCUUGGUAGUUUUCCCUCUUUAUUUAAAAAGAGAAAUAGUUUUGGCCUCUCCUACUUUUCCUUGUCCUCUUUUAAUCUUUCUGUUCUCUAUCUUUCCUCUCUUUCCCUGUCUUUCUCCAAACUUGUGCACAAUGUUUUUAGUCGCUUCCUCCUUUUCCAAAGCUCGUAGAGAAAGGCCUGGAUAUUCCACUAUUCAUACAAUCCCAGGUGGAAGAAGUGGGAGAGAUCUUUUUGUCAAAAAGAAUCAAAGCAAUACCUGUUGUUAACCUUCCUAUUUUAUACAAUAGAAAAAAAGCUAAAAGGAUCACAUCACAUGUAAAGGACAAAAACUAACAAAACACACACACGCACACACAUACACAUACACAUACACAAACACACACACAUACACAAACACACACACACACACACACACACACACAGACAGACCAAACAGAGCAGGAGCGUGCAAAAAUGUAAUCCCCUUGUAACAUAACUGUGAGCAACUUCAGUGCGAAAACAAAUAAACUCAUCCAGUUACUAAGUAUGUGUGUUGCUUGCACUUUUUAUUUCCAUUAACUGUUCAAGCAGUGUCUAGAGGUGGAAAGAUGAAGUGCGCUUCAUAUGAAUAACAAUUCAUCAACCUUGA
ensembl:lncRNA